rnacentral:rRNA from 1 species
UACGGAGGGAGCUAGCGUUGUUCGGAAUUACUGGGCGUAAAGCGCACGUAGGCGGCUCAGCAAGUCAGGGGUGAAAUCCCGGGGCUCAACCCCGGAACUGCCCUUGAAACUGCUAAGCUAGAAUCUUGGAGAGGCGAGUGGAAUUCCGAGUGUAGAGGUGAAAUUCGUAGAUAUUCGGAAGAACACCAGUGGCGAAGGCGACUCGCUGGACAAGUAUUGACGCUGUGGUGCGAAAGCGUGGGGAGCAAACAGG